rnacentral:rRNA from 1 species
CGCAAAUUACCCAAUCCUGACUCAGGGAGGUAGUGACAAGAAAUAACAACACUGGAAAUUUUAUUUCUAGUGAUUGGAAUGAUGGGAAUUUAAACCCCUUUCAGAGUAACAAUUGGAGGGCAAGUCUGGUGCCAGCAGCCGCGGUAAUUCCAGCUCCAAUAGCGUAUAUUAAAGUUGUUGCAGUUAAAAAGCUCGUAGUUGGAUACCUGCUGGAAGCAAUCAGUCCGCCCUAUUUGUAGGGUGUGCACUUGAUGAAUUCUGGCAUCUAUGUCCCGAUAAUAUAACGUGGAGGUCGUCCUCCCGUUUAUUGGGAACAUACUGUUACUUUGAGAAAAUUAGAGUGUUUGAAGCAGGCUAAUUGCCUUGAAUACUGCAGCAUGGAAUAACAAUAUAGGAUUUCGGUUCUAUUUUGUUGGUUUCUAGGGCUGAAAUAAUGAUUAAUAGGGACAGUUGGGGGCAUUCGUAUUUAACUGUCAGAGGUGAAAUUCUUAGAUUUGUUAAAGACGAACUACUGCGAAAGCAUUUGCCAAAGAUGUUUUCAUUAAUCAAGAACGAAAGUUAGGGGCUCGAAGACGAUCAGAUACCGUCGUAGUCUUAACCAUAAACUAUGCCGACUAGAGAUAGGAAAAUGUCAUUUUGCUGACUUCUCCUGCACCUUAUGAGAAAUC